rnacentral:rRNA from 1 species
AGCCGAGCGGUAUAGUUUCUUCGGAAACUAGAGAGCGGCGUACGGGUGCGUAACACGUGUGCAACCUACCUUUAUCAGGGGAAUAGCCUUUCGAAAGGAAGAUUAAUACUCCAUAAUAUAUUGAAUGGCAUCAUUUAAUAUUGAAAACUCCGGUGGAUAGAGAUGGGCACGCGCAAGAUUAGAUAGUUGGUGAGGUAACGGCUCACCAAGUCAAUGAUCUUUAGGGGUCCUGAGAGGGAGAUCCCCCACACUGGUACUGAGACACGGACCAGACUCCUACGGGAGGCAGCAGUGAGGAAUAUUGGACAAUGGGUGAGAGCCUGAUCCAGCCAUCCCGCGUGAAGGAUUAAGGUCCUAUGGAUUGUAAACUUCUUUUGUACAGGGAUAAACCUAGAUACGUGUAUCUAGCUGAAGGUACUGUACGAAUAAGCACCGGCUAACUCCGUGCCAGCAGCCGCGGUAAUACGGAGGGUGCAAGCGUUAUCCGGAUUUAUUGGGUUUAAAGGGUCCGCAGGCGGACCGAUAAGUCAGUGGUGAAAUCUCAUAGCUUAACUAUGAAACUGCCAUUGAUACUGUCGGUCUUGAGUAAAUUAGAGGUAGCUGGAAUAAGUAGUGUAGCGGUGAAAUGCAUAGAUAUUACUUAGAACACCAAUUGCGAAGGCAGGUUACCAUGAUUUAACUGACGCUGAGGGACGAAAGCGUGGGUAGCGAACAGGAUUAGAUACCCUGGUAGUCCACGCCGUAAACGAUGCUAACUCGUUUUUGGGGCGCAAGCCUCAGAGACCAAGCGAAAGUGAUAAGUUAGCCACCUGGGGAGUACGUUCGCAAGAAUGAAACUCAAAGG